rnacentral:lncRNA from 1 species
AAAUAAUACAACAUCAGAACAGUGUGUUAUAGACAGGAAGAUAAUGAGGGUAGUAGAAGAAAGAUCAUAUGGUCACUCAGGGAGGUGUAUGUUUCUCUUGGGAUUUUGACAGCUUAUUUUAACUUUCCUCAUUUCCACAGACAGCAUGAGAAGCAAACAUUGACAAGGAAAGUAGCUUGACAGAUGGUCUUGGACAGCGCKCUCUGUGCACAAGGGGCAGUGUGGAAGGUGACACUGAGGCAUCUGUGUGUCUUUGAAGAAGGAGGCAGGAGAUAUGGACAGAUUGGAACACACAUGGCCAGUAUGAUGAAAAAAUGGUCCAGGAUCACAAGGAUUCCGUUGGACUUGAAGGGAAGGCAAAGCUCUGGUAAGACUGGGGAAGAGGCAAAAGUAACCUUCUUUCCCACUGCAGCAAUCCACAGCUUGGUGAGAAGGAAUAGGAGGAAGAAUGCAGCAGUUCACGUCUGCAAGGCAGAAAGGAUCUUGGGUCUUAUCUGUACUGAUGCAGAACUAUGCAGGGAUGUUUUUAUUUGAUUCAAAUGUAUUCCCUGUGAUGAUAGCAUAAAUUGCUAAAAGGAAAUAGAGUUUGAUUUGGAC